rnacentral:lncRNA from 1 species
AUGAAGAGAGAUAUCAUCCAUCAUGCACGCAUUGUAAAGGCAGCGUCGAUCGCAUACCGGACAAAAGGCGACGAGAUAUUUUCGCCGAAACAAAUUCAAUUCGGUUCGCCGGCCGGCCCCCUCGGUCCAUGCCGUUGCGGCUUGCUCGCACACUUUUUCCAGUUAGCCGAAAGGCCCCGUCGUCCUGCCUAGCACGAAUCGUAAAGCUGAUUAAUUAGCAACCGCGCCUUGGAGCGGUAAGUAAUGACCACACAGUCUCGAGCGAGACUAACACUAACACGUGCCGGAU